AUUUAAGUAAUUUAAAAUAAAAAUAUUGAUUUGUGGUGUCAAAUAUAUGAAUAAAAUCAUCUUAGAUU
rnacentral:tRNA from 1 species